rnacentral:rRNA from 1 species
AUUGAACGCUGGCGGCAUGCCUUACACAUGCAAGUCGAACGGUAACGGGCCUUCGGGUGCCGACGAGUGGCGAACGGGUGGGUAAUACAUCGGAACGUGCCCGAUCGUGGGGGAUAACGAGGCGAAAGCUUUGCUAAUACCGCAUACGAUCUACGGAUGAAAGCAGGGGACCGCAAGGCCUUGCGCGGACGGAGCGGCCGAUGGCAGAUUAGGUAGUUGGUGGGAUGAAAGCUUACCAAGCCGACGAUCUGUAGCUGGUCUGAGAGGAUGAUCCGCCACACUGGGACUGAGACACGGCCCAGACUCCUACGGGAGGCAGCAGUGGGGAAUUUUGGACAAUGGGCGCAAGCCUGAUCCAGCCAUGCCGCGUGCAGGAUGAAGGCCUUCGGGUUGUAAACUGCUUUUGUACGGAACGAAAAGCCUUCUUCUAAUACGGGAGGGUCAUGACGGUACCGUAAGAAUAAGCACCGGCUAACUACGUGCCAGCCGCCGCAGUAA